rnacentral:lncRNA from 1 species
AUGGCUCUGAAGAGAAUCCACAAGGAAUUGAAUGACCUGGCUCGAGAUCCCCCAGCACAGUGUUCAGCAGGUCCUGUUGGAGAUGAUAUGUUUCAUUGGCAGGCUACAAUAAUGGGGCCAAAUGACAGCCCCUAUCAGGGUGGAGUAUUUUUCUUGACAAUUCAUUUCCCAACAGAUUACCCCUUCAAACCGCCUAAGGUUGCAUUUACAACAAGAAUUUAUCACCCAAAUAUUAACAGUAAUGGCAGCAUUUGUCUUGAUAUUCUACGGUCACAGUGGUCUCCAGCACUAACUAUUUCAAAAGUACUUUUGUCCAUCUGUUCUCUGUUGUGUGAUCCCAAUCCAGAUGAUCCUUUAGUGCCUGAGAUUGCUCGGAUCUACAAAACAGAUAGAGAAAAGUACAACAGAAUAGCUCGGGAAUGGACUCAGAAGUAUGCGAUGUAA